rnacentral:rRNA from 1 species
GGGGAUAUUGCACAAUGGGGGCAACCCUGAUGCAGCGACGCCGCGUGAGCGAUGGAGUACUUCGGUAUGUAAAGCUCUGUCAGCAGGGAAGAGAAUGACGGUACCUGACCAAGAAGCCCCGGCUAAAUACGUGCCAGCAGCCGCGGUAAUACGUAUGGGGCAAGCGUUAUCCGGAUUUACUGGGUGUAAAGGGAGCGUAGGCGGCAGGGCAAGCCUGAUGUGAAAGCCCGGGGCUCAACCCCGGGACUGCAUUGGGAACUGCCCCGCUCGAGUGCCGGAGGGGCAGGCGGAAUUCCUAGUGUAGCGGUGAAAUGCGUAGAUAUUAGGAGGAACACCAGUGGCGAAGGCGGCCUGCUGGACGGUGUACUGACGCUGAGGCUCGAAAGCGUGGGGAGCAAACAG